rnacentral:rRNA from 1 species
CUGCUGCCUCCCGUAGGAGUUUGGGCCGUGUCUCAGUCCCAAUGUGGCCGUCCACCCUCUCAGGCCGGCUACUGAUCGCUGCCUUGGUGGGCGUUACCCCGCCAACUAGCUAAUCAGACGCGGAUCCAUCGUAUACCACCGGAGUUUUUCACACUGCCCCAUGCGGAGCCGUGCGCUUAUGCGGUAUUAGCACCUAUUUCUAACGUGUUAUCCCCCGGUAUACGGCAGGUUAUCCACGCGUUACUCACCCGUCCGCCACUAA